UACAGAGGUCCCGAGCGUUGUUCGGAUUCACUGGGCGUAAAGGGUGCGUAGGUGGUGAGGUAAGUCGGAUGUGAAAUCUCCAGGCUCAACCUGGAAACUGCAUUGGAAACUACCUUGCUGGAGGAUUUGAGGGGGGAUUGGAAUACUUGGUGUAGCAGUGAAAUGCGUAGAUAUCAAGUGGAACACCAAUAGCGAAGGCAGCUCGCUGGGACGUGACUGACACUAAGGCGCGAAAGCGUGGGGAGCGAACAGG
rnacentral:rRNA from 1 species